AAGACUGUGCUUCACAGGAUCAUUUCUGUAGGCUAGUUUUCACCACAAGUUUUUUCCGAAAGGAAAAGAUUUCCCGCCCACGAUGAUGAGAUACAACGUUUAGCCUGGAGCGUGAAACUUGAUAGAGUUUGACUUAUCUUUUCGGAUGAAUCACUCUAUCGCUGAAGAUCGGCUCUCUUGCAAGGUUCAAACGUAUUCUGAGUGGU